UACGUAGGGUGCAAGCGUUGUCCGGAAUUAUUGGGCGUAAAGAGCUCGUAGGCGGUUUGUCGCGUCUGCUGUGAAAACCCGAGGCUCAACCUCGGGCCUGCAGUGGGUACGGGCAGACUAGAGUGCGGUAGGGGAGAUUGGAAUUCCUGGUGUAGCGGUGAAAUGCGCAGAUAUCAGGAGGAACACCGGUGGCGAAGGCGGAUCUCUGGGCCGUAACUGACGCUAAGGCGCGAAAGCGUGGGGAGCGAACAGG
rnacentral:rRNA from 1 species